rnacentral:rRNA from 1 species
GAACCUACGAAGGGAUUAUUA